rnacentral:rRNA from 1 species
GAUGAACGCUGGCGGCGUGCCUAAUACAUGCAAGUAGAACGCUGAAGGAGGAGCUUGCUCUUCUGGAUGAGUUGCGAACGGGUGAGUAACGCGUAGGUAACCUGCCUGGUAGCGGGGGAUAACUAUUGGAAACGAUAGCUAAUACCGCAUAACAGUAGAUAUUGCAUGAUAUCUGCUUGAAAGGUGCAAUUGCAUCCCUACCAGAUGGACCUGCGUUGUAUUAGCUAGUUGGUGAGGUAACGGCUCACCAAGGCGACGAUACAUAGCCGACCUGAGAGGGUGAUCGGCCACACUGGGACUGAGACACGGCCCAGACUCCUACGGGAGGCAGCAGUAGGGAAUCUUCGGCAAUGGACGGAAGUCUGACCGAGCAACGCCGCGUGAGUGAAGAAGGUUUUCGGAUCGUAAAGCUCUGUUGUAAGAGAAGAACGAGUGUGAGAGUGGAAAGUUCACACUGUGACG